GGGGGAGACAGGGUGAUCCUCGGGAAACUCCCUAAACUGCAGCAGCCAGUGUCUCAGGGUGUGCUUAUCUUCUCUCCCUGAAGAAGUCUGUCUCUCAUCCGACCAUUUAUCUCACAAAGUCGCAGAUAGUGCACGGAUGACUAAGAUAGUGUACUUGAUGCCGCUCUUCGGCUAUCAAAGCCGGAGUGACAGGUACAAACACUGGACUCCGAAGCUUCCUACACUACCUUGGGAGCGCAAGCUCCAAUCCUGGUCCUUUAGGAGUUAGGACCCCAGUCUCUGUCCAGCGCCCACUCCAGCGAGUUCACCCAUCAGAGGGCAGACGUCACACAAGGAGAUUCCUACACUCCAGGCACGCUGCUCCAGGGCACCCAGUGUCGUUUGACUGGACCUAGGCGGAAAAGGCCAGGCAGCCACUAGGAACUAAGCUUUCAGCGAUCACGCUGUCGGAAUCGCAGAGCCUAAGGGUUAUUAAUGGGCCUGGCGGAGCCGCUGUGUCUGCUCCCUGGUGCAGCAGGCCUCUGCAGAGGACUCCAGCCUCUGCGACUCAACCUCCUGAGUCCAGCCUCCCUGGGGACGCCCAGGGUUAUUCUGCUGCGGAGCCCUGUAGCACUGACCCUAUCACUUGGGGCUCUUGUGCUGGUGGAGAUGGUAAGAGCCCGGUAGCAGGGUACCUGAGUUGCUCUCUCAGCUUCUUGGCACCUUCCCCCUUGUCUCCAUGGCAAUUAGCCCUUGUAGAUGACUCCAAAUGUGCCUUGUCUAUGCUGAAACUGUGAACCACCCAAGAAACGUGCUAUAAGGGAAGGGUUCUCUACAAGGAACAUUCAGUCACAACCCAGAAUAAAGAACCCUUGCCAGGACAAUUGCAGUAUCAAUGGUUGACUAUGUGAGCAUCCUAUCUGACCAGAGGUGCUUCCAGGUCAGUCCUCCCCUCAGUGAGCAGCCACUCUGUUCCAGCUACGAUUGCCCAAAGAGUGAGGAAACCUGUUGGUUACAACUCCUUGGUGGCUGUCUACAAGACUUCUUGGAGGACCAACACCCUGUUUCUUCAGAUAUGCCUCUGUGCCUCCCUUAACACCAAGAUAACUCUCCUUCUUCAGCAUCCCAGGCUAAUGUGAGGAUUUUUCAAGACUCCACCUUUGACCCCAGGGCCUAGAUGCGGAAGUGGGUGACACUCACCCCAACUCUUCAGAAACACAUCUCUUUUUCACUCAGCCUCUCAUGCCUUUACUUGUGAACAACAACACGAAGACGACACCGCAGAAACAAAAGGACAACAAUAUUACCCCCUGUCCCAGUACCUUCUAUGUGCCAUGUGCCUGCCUUGCAGCAAACUGCCACUCUGGUAUCUAAGUGCCACAAUUCCCAUUUUUGUAGAUGAAGCAAAAGACUUUUUGAGAACACUGCUACUGAACCAAGGGCCAAGAAACUGGAAAGAGACAGCAGAAAGAUUUCACUCUGCCUGACUCCACAGCCUUCAAAGGCAGAGACUGAGGAAGACUAAUGAGGGCAAGGAGAAUUUUAUAUACCAACUCAUGACUCGAUCAAUAGAAUUGAAAGAGUUUACUGAUGUAACCAUGUGGGGGCCAGGAAAAGAACUCGGGCAUGAUUGAGUUAUAGUUAUAGAGGUAGUGCUCUAUUCCACACUCAUGGGCUUGAGGGAGCUAAAGUACAAGAAUAGGAAAGUAAAUAGCCAGCACCCAUAAUUUCAAGAUGUCUGCUUUCACAGACACGUUAAAAUGACCUUUCACCACCUGAGGGGGAAAAAAAAAAAACAGCUCUUAAAAAAUGACAAUGAGAAAAGGCAACGUGCCCAUGAAAAUAAAUAUAAGUCACCCAGGGAGUACUUGACUGAUUU